CUACGGAGGGUGCAAGCGUUAAUCGGAAUUACUGGGCGUAAAGAGUACGUAGGUGGUUCGUUAAGUCAGAUGUGAAAGCCCAGGGCUCAACCUUGGAACUGCAUUUGAAACUGGCGAACUAGAGUAUGGUAGAGGGGGGUAGAAUUCAUAGUGUAGCGGUGAAAUGCGUAGAUAUUAUGAGGAAUACCAGUGGCGAAGGCGGCCCCCUGGACCAAUACUGACACUGAGGUACGAAAGCGUGGGGAGCGAACAGGAUUAGAAACCCUUGUAGUCC
rnacentral:rRNA from 1 species